UGGGGAAUAUUGCACAAUGGACGGAAGUCUGAUGCAGCAACGCCGCGUGCGGGAUGACGGCCUUCGGGUUGUAAACCGCUUUUUCUCAUGACGAAGUUUUUUGACGGUAGUGGGGGAAGAAGCACCGGCUAACUACGUGCCAGCAGCCGCGGUGAUACGUAGGGUGCGAGCGUUGUCCGGAAUUAUUGGGCGUAAAGAGCUUGUAGGCGGUUUGUCGCGUCGAUAGUGCAAACUCAGUGCUUAACGCUGAGCCUGCUGUUGAUACGGGCAGACUAGAGGAAGGUAGGGGAGAAUAGAAUUCCCGGUGGAGCGGUAGAAUGCGCAGAUAUCGGGGGGAACACCGGUGGCGAAGGCGGUUCUCUGGGCCUUUCCUGACGCUGAGAAGCGAAAGCGUGGGGAGCGAACAGG
rnacentral:rRNA from 1 species